AUUGAACGCUGGCGGCAUGCUUUACACAUGCAAGUCGAACGGUAACAGGCCGCAAGGUGCUGACGAGUGGCGAACGGGUGAGUAAUGCAUCGGAACGUGCCCAGUCGUGGGGGAUAACGCAGCGAAAGCUGCGCUAAUACCGCAUACGAUCUAUGGAUGAAAGCGGGGGACCGUAAGGCCUCGCGCGAUUGGAGCGGCCGAUGUCAGAUUAGGUAGUUGGUGGGGUAAAGGCUCACCAAGCCAACGAUCUGUAGCUGGUCUGAGAGGACGACCAGCCACACUGGGACUGAGCCACGGCCCAGACUCCUACGGGAGGCAGCAGUGGGGAAGUUUGGACAAUGGGCGCAAGCCUGAUCCAGCAAUGCCGCGUGCAGAAAGAAGGCCUUCGGGUUGUAAACUGCUUUUGUACGGAACGAAAAGGCUCUGGUUAAUACCUGGGGCUCAUGACGGUACCGUAAGAAUAAGCACCGGCUAACUACGUGCCAGCCGCCGCCGUAAGAC
rnacentral:rRNA from 1 species